CAGUCGCCGCGGUAAUACGAAGGGUGCAAGCGUUAUUCGGAAUUACUGGGCGUAAAGCGCACGUAGGCGGAUAUUUAAGUCAGGGGUGAAAUCCCGCAGCUCAACUGCGGAACUGCCUUUGAUACUGGGUAUCUUGAGUAUGGAAGAGGUUAGUGGAAUUGCGAGUGUAGAGGUGAAAUUCGUAGAUAUUCGCAGGAACACCAGUGGCGAAGGCGGCUAACUGGUCCAUAACUGACGCUGAGGUGCGAAAGCGUGGGGAGCAAACAGGAUUAGAUACCCGGGUAGUCCCUGUCUCUUAUAC
rnacentral:rRNA from 1 species